GGGGCGGUAGCUCAGUCGGUCAGAGCAGCGGACUCAUAAUCCGCAGGACGCUGGUUCAAGUCCAGCCCGCCCCA
rnacentral:tRNA from 1 species